AACGUAGGACACGAGCGUUAUCCGGAGUUACUGGGCGUAAAGGGCGCGUAGGCGGCCUCCUAAGUCAGACGUGAAAUCCCUCGGCUCAACCGGGGAACUGCGUCUGAUACUGGGAGGCUUGAAUCCGGGAGAGGGAUGUGGAAUUCCAGGUGUAGCGGUGAAAUGCGUAGAUAUCUGGAGGAACACCGGUGGCGAAGGCGGCAUCCUGGACCGGUAUUGACGCUGAUGCGCGAAAGCCAGGGGAGCAAACGGG
rnacentral:rRNA from 1 species